rnacentral:rRNA from 1 species
AUAACCGGCGAUACCCGAAUGGGGAAACCCAGUGUGAUUCGUCACACUAUCAUUAACUGAAUCCAUAGGUUAAUGAGGCGAACCGGGGGAACUGAAACAUCUAAGUACCCCGAGGAAAAGAAAUCAACCGAGAUUCCCCCAGUAGCGGCGAGCGAACGGGGAGGAGCCCAGAGCCUGAAUCAGCAUGUGUGUUAGUGGAAGCGUCUGGAAAGGCGCGCGAUACAGGGUGACAGCCCCGUACACAAAAGCGCAUGUGCUGUGAGCUCGAUGAGUAGGGCGGGACACGUGGUAUCCUGUCUGAAUAUGGGGGGACCAUCCUCCAAGGCUAAAUACUCCUGACUGACCGAUAGUGAACCAGUACCGUGAGGGAAAGGCGAAAAGAACCCCGGCGAGGGGAGUGAAAAAGAACCUGAAACCGUGUACGUACAAGCAGUGGGAGCACAGGUUUACCUGUGUGACUGCGUACCUUUUGUAUAAUGGGUCAGCGACUUAUAUUCUGUAGCAAGGUUAACCGAAUAGGGGAGCCGGAGGGAAACCGAGUCUUAAUUGGGCGUUAAGUUGCAGGGUAUAGACCCGAAACCCGGUGAUCUAGCCAUGGGCAGGUUGAAGGUUGGGUAACACUAACUGGAGGACCGAACCGACUAAUGUUGAAAAAUUAGCGGAUGACCUGUGGCUGGGGGUGAAAGGCCAAUCAAACCGGGAGAUAGCUGGUUCUCCCCGAAAGCUAUUUAGGUAGCGCCUCGUGAAUUCAUCUCCGGGGGUAGAGCACUGUUUCGGCUAGGGGGCCAUCCCGGCUUACCAACCCGAUGCAAACUGCGAAUACCGGAGAAUGUUAUCACGGGAGACACACGGCGGGUGCUAACGUCCGUCGUGAAGAGGGAAACAACCCAGACCGCCAGCUAAGGUCCCAAAGUCAUGGUUAAGUGGGAAACGAUGUGGGAAGGCCCAGACAGCCAGGAUGUUGGCUUAGAAGCAGCCAUCAUUUAAAGAAAGCGUAAUAGCUCACUGGUCGAGUCGGCCUGCGCGGAAGAUGUAACGGGGCUAAACCAUGCACCGAAGCUGCGGCAGCGAACGUAUCACCCAAGACAACUUUACGGAGUUGACGAUUGACGGAGCGAAGCGACGUCAAAGCGUUCAUUAAAGUCGAGUUGGCUUAGGGAUACGUUCGUUGGGUAGGGGAGCGUUCUGUAAGCCUGUGAAGGUGUGUCGUGAGGCAUGCUGGAGGUAUCAGAAGUGCGAAUGCUGACAUAAGUAACGAUAAAGCGGGUGAAAAGCCCGCUCGCCGGAAGACCAAGGGUUCCUGUCCAACGUUAAUCGGGGCAGGGUGAGUCGACCCCUAAGGCGAGGCCGAAAGGCGUAGUCGAUGGGAAACGGGUUAAUAUUCCCGUACUUGGUGUUACUGCGAAGGGGGGACGGAGAAGGCUAUGUUGGCCGGGCGACGGUUGUCCCGGUUUAAGCGUGUAGGUGUGUGUUCCAGGUAAAUCCGGUU